rnacentral:rRNA from 1 species
GACGAACCGUCCGAACGUUAUUCGGAAUCACUGGGCUUACAGAGUUCGUAGGCGGUCCGGCAAGUUGGGUGUGAAAUCCCUUGGCUUAACCAAGGAACUGCGCUUGAUACUGCCGGACUCGAGGGAGAUAGAGGAAAGCGGAACUGAUGGUGGAGCGGUGAAAUGCGUUGAUAUUAUCAGGAACACCGGUGGCGAAGGCGGCUUUCUGGGUCUCUUCUGACGCUGAGGAACGAAAGCUAGGGGAGCGAACGGG